UGGGGAAUUUUGGACAAUGGGGGCAACCCUGAUCCAGCCAUCCCGCGUGUGCGAUGAAGGCCUUCGGGUUGUAAAGCACUUUUGGCAGGAAAGAAACGGCGCGUGCUAAUACCAUGCGCAACUGACGGUACCUGCAGAAUAAGCACCGGCUAACUACGUGCCAGCAGCCGCGGUAAUACGUAGGGUGCAAGCGUUAAUCGGAAUUACUGGGCGUAAAGCGUGCGCAGGCGGUUCGGAAAGAAAGAUGUGAAAUCCCAGGGCUCAACCUUGGAACUGCAUUUUUAACUACCGGACUAGAGUGUGUCAGAGGGAGGUGGAAUUCCACGUGUAGCAGUGAAAUGCGUAGAUAUGUGGAGGAACACCGAUGGCGAAGGCAGCCUCCUGGGAUAACACUGACGCUCAUGCACGAAAGCGUGGGGAGCAAACAGG
rnacentral:rRNA from 1 species